rfam:Pan troglodytes isolate Yerkes chimp pedigree #C0471 (Clint) chromosome 9, whole genome shotgun sequence.
GUCAGGCAUGGUGGUGCGUGCCUGUAAUCCCAGCUACUCAGGAGGCUGAGGCAGGAGAAUCACUUGAACCCAGGAGGCGGAGGUUGCAGUGAGCGGAGAUCAUACCACUGUACUCCAGCCUGGGUGACAGAGUGAGACUCUGUCUCAA